rnacentral:rRNA from 1 species
AUUGAACGCUGGCGGCAUGCCUUACACAUGCAAGUCGAACGGCAGCAUGACGUGUAGCAAUACACGUUGAUGGCGAGUGGCGAACGGGUGAGUAAUAUAUCGGAACAUGUCCUGUAGCGGGGGAUAACCUAUCGAAAGAUGGACUAAUACCGCAUACGCUCUAUGGAGGAAAGCGGGGGUCGCAAGACCUCGCACUAUAGGAGUGGCCGANAUCGGAUUAGCUAGUUGGCGGGGUAAAAGCCACCAAGGCUACGAUCCGUAGCUGGUCUGAGAGGAUGAUCAGCCACACUGGAACUGAGACACGGUCCAGACUCCUACGGGAGGCAGCAGUGGGAAUUUUGGACAAUGGGCGCAAGCCUGAUCCAGCCAUGCCGCGUGAGUGAAG